rnacentral:rRNA from 1 species
UUUGCUCCGCCUGUUUAUCAAAAACAUGGCUCUUUGCUAUAUGAAUAUAAAGAGUCGAGCCUGCCCAGUGAAUUUUUAACGGCCGCGGUACUCUGACCGUGCAAAGGUAGCAUAAUCAUUUGCCUUAUAAUUGAAGGCUAGUAUGAAUGGUUUGACGAGAGCAACACUGUCUCCUUUUUAUUUUCAAGAACUUAACUUUUAGGUGAAGAGGCCUAAAUUUUAUUGAAGGACAAGAAGACCCUGUCGAGCUUAAAAGACAUCAUAGGGCUUAAUAUAUUUUUAAAUAAAUUUUCUAUUAGGCUUUUUAGUUGGGGCGACUAAGGAACAAAAAAAGCUUCUUUUUGAUAAUAAACAAUCAUGUUUGGAUCCGGUAGUAAGCGAUUAAAGAAAUUAGUUACCGCAGGGAUAACAGCAUAAUCUCUCUUAAGAGACCUAAUCGAAAGAGGGGGUUGUGACCUCGAUGUUGGACUAGAAUAUCCUGAAGAUGCAGA